rnacentral:rRNA from 1 species
AGUGAACGCUGGCGGUAGGCCUAACACAUGCAAGUCGAACGGCAGCACAGUAAGAGCUUGCUCUUACGGGUGGCGAGUGGCGGACGGGUGAGGAAUACAUCGGAAUCUACUUUUUCGUGGGGGAUAACGUAGGGAAACUUACGCUAAUACCGCAUACGACCUACGGGUGAAAGCAGGGGAUCUUCGGACCUUGCGCGAUUGAAUGAGCCGAUGUCGGAUUAGCUAGUUGGCGGGGUAAAGGCCCACCAAGGCGACGAUCCGUAGCUGGUCUGAGAGGAUGAUCAGCCACACUGGAACUGAGACACGGUCCAGACUCCUACGGGAGGCAGCAGUGGGGAACAUUGGACAAUGGGCGCAAGCCUGAUCCAGCCAUACCGCGUGGGUGAAGAAGGCCUUCGGGUUGUAAAGCCCUUUUGUUGGGAAAGAAAAUCAGCAGGUUAAUACCCCGCUGUUCUGACGGUACCCAAAGAAUAAGCACCGGCUAACUUCGUG